rnacentral:ncRNA from 2 species
AAAAUUUAAUAAUUUUAAGGUAUUUAUAUAAAUAAAAGGGAAAGAGGUGAAAGUCCUCUACAGCCCCCGCUACUGUAAGCAGUGAUGAAGUCUCUAAUUACCACUGGGAAACUGGGAAGGUGAGAUAGUAAAGUGAUCUGCAAGUCAGGAGACCUGCCUUAAAAUAGAGAGUAUU